rnacentral:rRNA from 1 species
CCUACGGGAGGCAGCAGUAGGGAAUAUUGCUCAAUGGGGGAAACCCUGAAGCAGCAACGCCGCGUGGAGGAUGAAGGUUUUCGGAGUGUAAACUCCUUUUUGUAGAGAAGAUAAGGACGUUAUCUAACGAAUAAGCACCGGCCAACUCCGUGCCAGCAGCCGCUGGAAUCCGGAGGGCGCAAGCGGUACUCGGAAUGACUGGGGGUAAAUGGCGCGUAGGCGGGAUAGUAAGUCAGGUGUGAAAUUCUAUGGCCUAACCCUAGAACUGCAUUUGAAACUGUUACUCUAGAGUAUGAGAGAGGUAGGUGGAAUUCUUGGUGUAGGGGUGAAAUGCGUAGAUAUCAAGCGGAACACUCAUUGCGAAGGCGACCUGCUAGCACCUAACUGACGCUGAUGCGCGAAAGCGUGGGGAGCAAACAGGAUUAGAUACCCGAGUAGUC